rnacentral:rRNA from 1 species
GACGAACGCUGGCGGCGUGCUUAACACAUGCAAGUCGAACGAAGUAGCGAACGGGGGAGUAAUACGUGGGUAACCUGCCAUCCUUUUUGGGAUAAGCCUUGUAAACGGGGUCUAAUACCGCCUAAAGGGGGAUGGGCUCGCGGCCUAUCAGCUUGUUGGUGGGGUGAUGGCCUACCAAGGCGGUGACGGGUAGCCGGGCUGAGAGGUUGACUGGGAACAGUGGGACGGGGAUACGGCCCAGAGUGCUACGGGAGGGAGAAGUGGGGGAUAGUGCAGAAUGGGCGAAAGCCUGAGGCAGCGACGCCGCGUGGGGGAUGAAGGCUUUCGGGUUGUAAACCUCGGUCGCUAUAGAACGGGUAGGUGGAGAAGAAGCGCCGGCUAACUACGUGCCAGCAGCCGCGGUAAUAC